GAUGAACGCUAGCGGCAGGCUUAAUACAUGCAAGUCGAGGGGUAUAAUAGCAAUAUUAGAGACCGGCGAACGGGUGCGUAACGCGUAUGCAACCUACCUAUAUCAGGGGGACAGCCCUAGGAAACUUGGAUUAAUACCGCAUAACAUAAGAAUCGGCAUCGAUUUUUAUUAAAAGAUUUAUCGGAUAUAGAUGGGCAUGCGUAGGAUUAGCUAGUUGGUAAGGUAACGGCUUACCAAGGCGACGAUCCUUAGGGGCUCUGAGAGGAGUAUCCCCCACACUGGCACUGAGAUACGGGCCAGACUCCUACGGGAGGCAGCAGUAGGGAAUAUUGGGCAAUGGAGGCAACUCUGACCCAGCCAUGCCGCGUGCAGGAAGACGGUCCUCUGGAUUGUAAACUGCUUUUGAAUGGGAAGAAUGUGCGGCUUGCGAGCUGUAAUGACGGUACCAUUAGAAUAAGCCACGGCUAACUACGUGCCAGCCGCCGCCGUAA
rnacentral:rRNA from 1 species